UGAGUACGAGAUGCUACGGCGUCGAAGCAGUCUAGGUCAUACUUCCAAGAAAAGCUUGCACUGUCAUAAACAAAGAAUGCCUGUACCAUAACCGACACAGGUGGGUAGGUAGAGUAUACUAAGGGGCGCGAGAUAACUCUCUCUAAGGAACUCGGCAAAAUGACUCCGUAACUUCGGGAGAAGGAGUGCCUUAUUUUUAAGGUUGCAAUAACAAGAUCCAAGCAACUGUUUACCAAAAACACAGGUCUCCGCUAAGUCGUAAGACGAUGUAUGGGGGCUGACGCCUGCCCAGUGCCAGAAGGUUAAAGAAGUUGGUUAGCAUUUGCGAAGCUGAUAACUGAAGCCCUGGUGAACGGCGGCCGUAACAAUAACGGUCCUAAGGUAGCGAAAUUCCUUGUCGGGUAAGUUCCGACCCGCACGAAAGGCGUAAUGAUUUGGAUACUGUCUCGGAGAGGGGCUCGGUGAAAUAGACUUGUCUGUGAAGAUGCGGACUACCUGCACCUGGACAGAAAGACCCUAUGAAGCUUUACUGUAACUUGAGAUUGAAAUUGGACUUUAUUUGCGCAGUAUAGGUGGGAGGCGUUGAGAAUAAUCUUGCGGGAUUAUCGGAGCCAUCAGUGAGAUACCACUCUUGUAAUGUUAGAUUUCUAACUUUGUAUCAUUAUCUGGUCAAAGAACAGUUUCAGGCGGGCAGUUUGACUGGGGCGGUCGCCUCCCAAAGGGUAACGGAGGCGCACAAAGGUUUCCUCUGAACGGGUAGAAAUCGUAUCUAGAGUGUAAAGGCAUAAGGAAGCUUGACUGUGAGACCUACAAGUCGAGCAGGGACGAAAGUCGGUCUUAGUGAUCUGACGGUGCUGAGUGGAAAGGCCGUCACUCAACGGAUAAAAGUUACUCUAGGAUAACAGGCUGAUCUCCCCCAAGAGUUCACAUCGACGGGGAGGUUUGGCACCUCGAUGUCGGCUCAUCGCAUCCUGGGGCGGUAGUACGUCCCAAGGGUUGGGCUGUUCGCCCAUGAAAGCGGUACGCGAGCUGGGUUCAGAACGUCGUGAGACAGUUCGGUCCAUAUCCGGUGUAGGCGUUAGAGUAUUGAAAGGAGCCUUCUCUAGUACGAGAGGACCGAGAAGGACAUACCUCUGGUGUGCCAGUUAUCGUGCCAACGGUAAACGCUGGGUAGCUAUGUAUGGAGUGGAUAACCGCUGAAAGCAUCUAAGUGGGAAGCCCACCUUAAGAUAAGUAUUCCC
rnacentral:rRNA from 1 species